CAGAGAGAUUGAAACAAUUCACUACUGCCUUUCCUCCAGCUUCUCCUGGGCAUGCUACAUACACUGUGGGAAGGCGGAAGACUGACCUAGAACACCUUCAAGUGGAUGCUACACUUAAAAAUGAACUCCUGGAGGGUGAGACCAUGCAUGAAAACUGGCAGAAGGAACCCACCAGGGCAGAGCCUCAGCUUUCAGCCUCCUAGAAUGAAGCGUGAACCCAAAGCAAAGAGCUGAACUGCUUUCACACCUCUGACUUCACAGACAAAGAAACAUGCAGUUCCGAAGUCUUGCCAGC
rnacentral:lncRNA from 1 species